rnacentral:rRNA from 1 species
GCCAUGCAUGUAUAAGUUUAAUCGUUUAUCGAGAAACCGCGAACGGCUCAUUACAAUGGCCAUGAUUUACUUGAUCUUGAUUAUCUAAAUGGAUAACUGUGGAAAAGCUAGAGCUAAUACAUGCACCAAAGCUUUGUCCUCUCGGAAAAGCGCAUUUAUUAGAACAAAACCANGCGGCUUCGGCUGCUUCUUGUUGACUCAGAAUAACUAAGCUGACCGCAUGGCCUUGUGCCGGCGGCGUGUCUUUCAAGCGUCCACUUUAUCAACUUGACGGGAGCAUAAUCGACUCCCGUGGUGGUGACGGAUAACGGAGGAUCAGGGUUCGACUCCGGAGAAGGGGCCUGAGAAAUGGCCACUACGUCUAAGGAUGGCAGCAGGCGCGCAAAUUACCCACUCUCGGCUCGAGGAGGUAGUGACGAGAAAUAACGAGACUGUUCUCUUUGAGGCCGGUCAUCGGAAUGGGUACAAUUUAAACCCUUUAACGAGUAUCAAGCAGAGGGCAAGUCUGGUGCCAGCAGCCGCGGUAAUUCCAGCUCUGCUAAUACAUAGAAUUAUUGNUGCGGUUAAAAAGCUCGUAGUUGGAUUCGUAUCGGUAYCCUGGAACCCUYCGGGUGUUUCUGGGUGUUAUCGAUUUAUCGUAAUGUUCGGUUUUGAGUCCUUAACAGGAUUCUUAACAGGCAUUGCAAGUUUACUUUGAACAAAUCAGAGUGCUUCAAACAGGCGUUUUCGCUUGAAUGAUCGUGCAUGGAAUAAUAGAAAANGAUUUCGGUUCAGUUUUAUUGGUUUUACGGACUGAGAUAAUGGUUAACAGAGACAAACGGGGGCAUUUGUAUGGCCCCGUGAGAGGUGAAAUUCUUGGACCGUGGCCAGACAAACUACAGCGAAAGCAUUUGCCAAGAAUGUUUUUAUUAAUCAAGAACGAAAGUCAGAGGUUCGAAGGCGAUCAGAUACCGCCCUAGUUCUGACCGUAAACGAUGCCAACUAGCGAUCCGCCGAUGGAAAUUAUAUUGCCUUGGUGGGGAGCUUCCCGGAAACGAAAGUCUUCCGGUUCCGGGGGAAGUAUGGUUGCAAAGCUGAAACUUAAAGGAAUUGACGGAAGGGCACCACCAGGAGUGGAGCCUGCGGCUUAAUUUGACUCAACACGGGGAAACUCACCCGGCCCGGACACUGUGAGGAUUGACAGAUUGAUAGCUUUUUCAUGAUUCAGUGGAUGGUGGUGCAUGGCCGUUCUUAGUUCGUGGAGUGAUUUGUCUGGUUUAUUCCGAUAACGAGCGAGACUCUAACCUACUAAAUAGUUGGURCAUACUCUUWGUGUAUACAGCUUCUUAGAGGGAUUUGCGGCGUUCAGCCGAAAGAAAUUGAGCAAUAACAGGUCUGUGAUGCCCUUAGAUGUCCGGGGCUGCACGCGCGCUACACUGGCAAAAUCAACGUGCUUGUCCUACCCUGAAAGGGGCGGGUAAACCAUUGAAAAUUUGCCGUGAUUGGGAUCGGAAAUUGCAAUUAUUUUCCGUGAACGAGGAAUUCCAAGUAAGUGCGAGUCAUCAGCUCGCGUUGAUUACGUCCCUGCCCUUUGUACACACCGCCCGUCGCUGCCCGGGACUGAGCCAUUUCGAGAAAUUUGGGGACCGUUGAUUUAAUUUUUCUAAAUUACUUUGAUGGAAACCAAUUUAAUC